AGAGUUCUUCGGAAUUUGAGACCGGCGCACGGGUGCGUAACGCGUAUGCAAUCUGCCUUCCACAGAGGGAUAGCCCAGAGAAAUUUGGAUUAAUACCUCAUAGCAUUACAGGAUGGCAUCAUCCGGUAAUUAAAGUCACAACGGUGGAAGAUGAGCAUGCGUCCCAUUAGCUAGUUGGUAAGGUAACGGCUUACCAAGGCGACGAUGGGUAGGGGUCCUGAGAGGGAGAUCCCCCACACUGGUACUGAGACACGGACCAGACUCCUACGGGAGGCAGCAGUGAGGAAUAUUGGUCAAUGGGCGCAAGCCUGAACCAGCCAUGCCGCGUGCAGGAUGACGGUCCUAUGGAUUGUAAACUGCUUUUGUACGGGAAGAAACACUGAUUCGUGAAUCAGCCUGACGGUACCGUAAGAAUAAGGAUCGGCUAACUCCGUGCCAGCAGCCGCGGUAAUACGGAGGAUCCAAGCGUUAUCCGGAAUCAUUGGGUUUAAAGGGUCUGUAGGCGGUCUUGUAAGUCAGUGGUGAAAGCCCAUCGCUCAACGGUGGAACGGCCAUUGAUACUGCAGGACUUGAAUUACCGGGAAGUAACUAGAAUAUGUAGUGUAGCGGUGAAAUGCUUAGAUAUUACAUGGAAUACCAAUUGCGAAGGCAGGUUACUACCGGUGGAUUGACGCUGAUGGACGAAA
rnacentral:rRNA from 1 species